ACGAACGCUGGCGGCGGGCCUCAUACAUGCAAGUCGAGCGCGUGUAGCAAUACACGAGCGGCGUACUGGUGAGUAACGGGUGGAUAAUCUGCCUCCGGGUAGGGGAUAACGGCUGGAAACGGCCGCUAAUACCGUAUACGGUCGCCGGGUCCUUGGACCUGGCGAAGAAAGGGGCUUCACGGCCUCGCCGGGAGAUGAGUCCGCCUCCGAUUAGCUAGUUGGUGGGGUAAUGGCCCACCAAGGCUUUGAUCGGUAGCGGAACUGAGAGGUUGAUCGGCCACACUGGAACUGAGACACGGUCCAGACACCUAUGGGUGGCAGCAGUAGGGAGUAUUGCGCAAUGGGCGAAAGCCUGACGCAGCCACGCCGCGUGGAUGAUGAAGGCCUUCGGGUCGUAAAGUCCUUUUAUGAGGGAAGAACAGUCCGGUCAGGAAAUGGUCCGGAUUUGACGGUACCUCAGGAAUAAGCCACGGCUAACUCUG
rnacentral:rRNA from 1 species